rnacentral:pre_miRNA from 15 species
GAGAGAAAUAUUUGUUGCCAGAUUAUCUUCAGGACGGUAUUUGUGUCAAUAUGGAUAUUUCAAACAUAUUGCACUUAUACCGGCCUGAUGAUCUCCGGCGCUCGUCAUCUGUGACUAA